GUUUGUCUGUGUUUCAUGUUUGUGAUUGCCUUCUAACGGGCCUCCAUUUCUGUCUCCAGAGGCCCAAGCUUCCUUCGACACACAUCCCUGUGUGAAAAGCUCUGAUGUUGAUCCGAGUUUUUCUGGGGCACCUGGUUGUGGCCCUAGGCCUGCUCCUGCCCUACCCUGUCUGUGAGGCCACCACUCUGGGUGCAGUGGUCAAUGUUGUCCCUCUAGAGAAGAGUGGAGGAAAUAUGGUGAGGGCCCACUACACCGUGAUCUCUGCCCUACCCUGUCCUACGUUCUCCGGAGUGUGUCAGACAGGUGAAGACUGUGUCGUGCAUACCACCUCGUUACCCUACACAGGACAGAAGCCCGCCUCUGGCUGGUGCGUCCGCCAAUGGCAGAGGACCAUUCCCAGCAACUACAAAGCCAACGUGAAUGUGGGGUCCAACGUGAAUGUGUUUCUGUUCUUGUGGGCUGGACCCUCCAACCAGUCUAACUCAUUGAGACUAAACCAGCCCCCUUACUGCAGCCUGCCUCCUCCUCUCAGGGCUCGUGUGAACUGCCCACAUCACUUCCCACUGACGGUGAAGGACCUGGAUGGGGACACAGUGCUCUGUCGCUUUGCCCAGGCUGACCUUGGAGAAUGCCUUGACUGCCCCCAGUACAACUUUCUGAAGAUGGAGGAGGAGACGUGUACGCUGUUGUACAAUGGCAAAUCGUCCGCUGGCCAAUACUCUGUGCAGCUGAUGGUGGAGGACUUUUCACGCCAAACCCAAACCAACAAACGCAAAGCACUCAGUUCCAUCCCACUGCACCUGUCCCUUACAGUGGAGGAGGCGUCCUCAAGCUGCACUGCUGAGCCGGUCACUACAGGACUGACACCAACAGGGGGAGCCACCAUCUACGUUCUGCCCUAUGAGCAGAUCAACGUGUCUGUCACCUUUCAUUCUGACCUAGAGAGCGUAUCAGAGAUAGUGGUGGUUGGUCCCCCUGGCCUCUUCAGGACAGCGCUGGACACCAAGGGUUCCCUGGCCACCAUGAAUCUCACAUGGAUCCGGAGCCCCAACAACCUGCCUCCUCUUUUGCCCCUUUGUUUCCUGGCCAACACCAACAGUUUGCAGUCUGAACCCAGAUGUGUGUGGCUUUACCAAAGACAGAUGGAGACCAUUCCCACUGGAACAGAGCUGACAUGUGGGAAGACUGAGAUGCAUCUGGUUCUCCCCAUUUCCACCCUGAAGAACCUGAUUGUGUCAGAGCUCCAGCUCAACCAUCCUUCCUGUAGUGUCACCUCCAACUCCACCCAUGUGAUGGCCAGCAUCUCUCUGACUGGCUGCGGCACUAAGAGAGUGCACUCUGGUUCAGAGAUGGUGUACACCAACACCCUGCGAAGCGUACGCAACACUGUCAUCAGUCGGCAGCCCACCCUGAUUAUGCCAAUAGCCUGCCGUUUCCCUGGCGUCGAGGCCAAGGGCCCUCGGUACGCCAUCAACAUGCCGUCGGAGCAGGAGACCUUCGGCAUCGUUAAGUUCUGGUUGGAGUUCUACCGGCCUGGGGAGGGGCCCAUGGCUAACAGAACCAAAAUCCCCAAGUUCCGCCACCUCCUCCCUUCCUCGCAGCGUGUCCGCCGAGAGACGUCGGUCCGCACCGCGAGCAGGCUGGACACACUGGACCUGCAUGUGUUCUCCAACACCUCUCUGGACAGGGCAGAGUUGAUGGUGGGCAAGUGCAUGGAGUCCGAGACAGAAGACAUGGCUGACAGCCUCUGUAUCCUGGAUCAGGGGUGUUCGGCUGGAAAUGGAACCCUGGAGAUUCUGACGUCAACCUCCACUGUCAGGGUAUACCGAAUCAACCUGAGCACUAUCAAAACUAAAGGAACCAUGAUGUACGUGGAGUGUACAGUGUAUCUCUGUGUCACCACGAGGCCCUCUCAGAAGUGUCCUGAUCAGUGUGACAGGGCCAGCAGCAACCAGGUAAUGGUUGACAGCGUGCUGACCAGGAGCUACACCGUCCGCUCCGGCUCUGUUAGCCUCGUACCCACCACCGCUGCACUGGCAACUACCACUGUGGUCCCAGCAACCACCCCCACGGGUACCAUUAGUACCACAGCAGCACCAACUACAACAGCCUCAAAUGCUCCUGCUGAGGACUCAAACAUGACAGUGGGCGUGGUCUUGGCUGUCAUUCAUGUCUUACUUCAAGGCCUGCUUCAUCACUGAAGAGAGAAAGGGUUAUAAUUCCUAUGUUGUUAAAUUGUAGCUCUCAUGUGAAUUACUGCAUACUAAUUUACAUCAUAAGAAACCAAUGGAAUUAAUGAUAUGACACACUUCUUACAUUGAAUGGGUCGUUUUUCAAGAUAAUUAUUUUGUACAGUAUACUCCCCAUGAUGGCUUCUACAUUUAAAGCACGAAACACCGAGAAUUACACUGCCGAAAAGUACUUAUCACAGCGGGUGGCGUUCCUUCGCUUGCUAGAGCAAAAGCGGUUCCUGCUGCGUGCCAACCUGGUAGCGACGAACCUACGGCUUCUAGUCAGUGGCCAACAACUUGAUUUUGAGCCAAUCAGAGGUUCGUCAUUAGUUACCACAACCACAAAGUCAUAAACCUAAAAUGUGAUUUUAAACCUAAACUUAACCACACUGCUAACAUUAUGCCUAACCAUAACCUUAAAUUAAGACCAGAAAGCAAAUGUUUGUUUUCAUUAAUUUUUAUGCUAUAGACAAUUUUGACCUUUGCGGUAGCUAGUGGAAACCCAAUCAGAGAGCACCAACCCCCACAACGAAAAAAGGAAAUAAGAGGGCAGUUUUCCGCACAGCCUCGGAUGAGCCAGUCACACUUCAUAUGCAAUGUAGGCUAUGGGAUGGAAACUAGCUAAGUGCACAGACACAAUACUCAAUUAUUCCUCCAAGCUAGCUAACCACUGUAGUUAGUAUUGACAAUGUAUGUAAAUAACAAUGGAUUCGCUAGUGUCCAUGAAACAGCUGCCUGUGUUAGUUGCCGAGUUGUGCAGUUUCCUUAGCUACCUAACGUUAGCUAGCUAAACAUUUGGCUAUGGGCUGGUACUUUGGGAUUAUGGAGAGUGAAUAAAAUGGUUUAUUCUUCACCUUGCUAGGUAGUUAUCUAGCUGUGGCCAUCUGGCUAGUAGCAACAUAAACACAGAUGUCUGGUAAUCUAGACCAUAAACAAGACGCACGGAUAUGCAUUGCCAAACAAAGCUACUGCCACCUUCUGGUUUGGAGUAUUUUAAAAGUGAGUGGGUGACGACUUCCAAGGUCUUUGUUGUGGGAUCACAAAAGAGUGACUGCCGACACUGUUCGGAGUUGCUAAAUACAGUCGGCAGGCAAAUGUUUGACAAUUUUACCAGGCAAACGUUUGACAAUCUUACUGGUGUGUCUGAGCUUUAACUAUUUUUAACUGCUGUUUAUAACUAUUUUCGUCCAAAAAUCCUGUUCAAAAUGUAAUCCUGGAUAUGAACAUAAAGUAAUUGUUUCAAAUUUGUCCUGGUCAUGCAUGCACUGUAAAAAAAAUUAUAUAUAUAAAUAAAAUCUAGUUUCAACUAAUUAUUAUUAAGUAACUGGUUCCACAGACUUUUUUUUUUGUUUACUCAACUUUUCGGUCCAAGUGUUACCUGAACAAAAGAAAUUACUCAAACUUAGCUCCAAUUUGACAAGAAUUCAGUCAA
ensembl:lncRNA uncharacterized LOC115203493